rnacentral:rRNA from 1 species
CAAUAGCGUAUAUUUAAGUUGUUGCAGUUAAAAAGCUCGUAGUCGGAUUUUGGCUGAGAACGAUCGGUCCGCCGUUAGGUGUGCACUGAUUGGUCUCAGCUUCCUGGUGAGGAGGUGUGCUUCACGGCCACUUAGUCACCGUGGUUACUUUGAAAAAAUUAGAGUGUUCAAAGCGGGCUUACGCUUGAAUAUAUUAGCAUGGAAUAACACCAUAGGACUCCUGUCCUAUUUCGUUGGUCUCGGGACGGGAGUAAUGAUUAAGAGGAACAGUUGGGGGCAUUCGUAUUUCAUUGUCAGAGGUGAAAUUCUUGGAUUUAUGAAAGACGAACUUCUGCGAAAGCGUUUGCCAAGGAUGUUUUCAUUGA